GCGACCGGGAGCUGCUGAGCGAGGGAGCCCCAAAGAAGCAAACAGCUAUGGUGUGAACUGUCUAUGGAGAAGGCCACAUGGCAUGGAACUACAGGAUGUUUCCAGGACCUGAGAGUGGCCUCUACCUGAUACGGCCAGUAAAAUUCUAGGAUUCUCCAUCAUACAUACAGCUGCAAGCAAAUAAAUUCUGCCAACAACUUAAAUGAGUCUGGAAGUUGGUUCUUCCCCAGUCAGACCUCCAGAUGAGAACACAGACCACCCAAUGCCCUGACUGCAGCCUGAUGAGACCCUGAGCAGAGGACCCAGCUAAGCUGCACCUGGAAUCCUGACCCACAGAAACUAUGAUACAAUAAAUGGGUGUUGUGUUAAACUGCUA
rnacentral:lncRNA from 1 species